CAGAGUGCCUCGGCGGAGGGGCCCGGCGGGAACAAACAGCCGCCGCCGCGGGAGCGCUGCUCGGGUGGCCGGAGGCAGAUCCUCCUCUUGGCCGCAGAUCCCGCAAACGCUCGCUCUCUGGAGCCGCUGCCUUCAGUGCGCUCAGCCCUGGAUGGUAAGGGUUCACGCGGGUGCCAGCUGGAGCUGGGAGCAGCAGCGAUAGUCCCCCAUCCGUCAUCUCCCCAAAGCAGCGCUCGGGCCACCGAGGCCGACGCGCAGUUGGAGCCGCACCAGCGGAGCCUGAGACGCCGGGACCAACGCCGCCGGAGCGGGACCCGAGGGAACCCGAGCGGCUUCCGGCCCAAGGCGAGACGCACUUAAGUGAUCGCAAGGAGCAAAGCUGGCGUUCUGAGCCUCGGGCCUCGGAGAGGUGAAGCACAACCCUGAAGAUUACCUGAAGGAGCUUCUCUACUGACAUGCUGGCCAGUGUCCUUGCCAAAGAUGUCACUUUCCUAGACAUUUCUCAUCUCGUCCCCACUAUUUCAAGAUCCCAGGGACAGAGACUUGUAUGGCAAACAAGAUUUGAAUUCAGAAUUCAAGAAGCACUUCCCGACUUCAGCCAAGUAAGAAGGAUCCUCUUCUUCCUGUCUGUGGAAAUUUCUUGGAUUUGGAAGGACUUUAUCAUGAAGUUCUGUGAGGCAGGAGGACUGUAACACCAUUUGGAGCAGAAGCAAGUAUGCAUUUUGAUCUCGGCGGUGCUCUACUCCUUAGAGAACUGAGGGCGGGAUCUUCCCUACCUGUUUGGCUGCAGGGAGGGGCGAUUUUCUCAUUGGACCAAUGGGGACUUAGUCUCCACCUCCACGUCUUUCAGCUCUACUGCAGAUUAGUGCGAGGACGGCAAGUGAGAAUGGCUUCUGCAGCAGGUGAUGGAUGGCAUUUCAUCAGGCCUACUAUGAGCACAGCUAUGGCUGAAUCACAUCCUAAUCCUACUUCAUGAACUUUUGCCUGGUAACUCACAAGGGGCUCACCCUAUGCGGCAACCCAAGAUCCUGAACAGAAUUCCCCUACUGUCUCCCCAGACCACUCCCCCAAGUCACCAGCCAGCACACCAAGCCCAGAGGAAAGUUUCUUCUUUUUAAUUAAACUAGUUUUAAUUAAAAAUAAUAAUAAUCUAGUAAGUCUCAAGUUUUUCAGAUGAUGGGGCAGCCCACUAACUCCUCCUGAAGUCAAGGUGUUACUUGUCUCAGAAAUGAAGAGCUGUCCUGGGGUCUGGAGGAGCUCAGCCAGGUUCCAGUCUGUGUCAAAGGGGUGUGCUCUCUCAGUAGGAAAUAGAGCGGACAAGUAAGUGGGAGUGGGGGACAAGCUUGUGGGGGGAAUGAAGGGACAACAGCCAGGGAGUCACAGACCUAGGAGUCUGGCCUCUAAUGUGUUAUUAAAACAAAACAAAACAAAACAAAACACCCAGGGGAGGUUAAAGACCAGUUGGGAGGUGGUUUGAGAUCGAAGGUCUGACUUCCAAAGGCUUGAAAUUCACUAGAAAUUCGAGGUGGGGCCUCACAGGUGGUUCUCCAGAUCCUCAGACAUGGGACCCAAAACAGUGCAGAGGUCGGGGGCGUGCCCAGAUGAGGGCUCACAGUGGAGGGAGAAGAAAUGCGGGCCUUACAAUUCUGAAUGGGGGAUGGGGAGUUAAGUCCAGUGGAGAGAUGGUGCGAGGUUCCCCAGGGAUGAGGGAUAGCGGCGGGUGAAACAGGUGUGCUCAAGUCCACGAGGCAGAGCUGGGGAGCUCCGAGGUGCGCUCUAAGGCACGGGGACAGAGACUGGGGCUCCCAGGCAGCGCCCCUUCCUGGGGAAGAGGG
rnacentral:lncRNA from 1 species